rnacentral:sRNA from 1 species
UUUGUCUCUCUCUUUUCAUUUUCAUCAUCACCAAAUCCGCCUUGGCUCAGAAAUGUUCCAAC